rnacentral:hammerhead_ribozyme from 1 species
UUAUAGCUGACGAGUCCCAAAUAGAAUGAAAUAUGUGUCCUAAAU